rnacentral:rRNA from 1 species
GGUGACGAUAGCGCGGGGGAUACACCUGUUCCCAUCCCGAACACAGAAGUUAAGCCCCACAUCGCCGAUGGUACUUGGUUGGAAACGGCCUGGGAGAGUAGGUAGUCGCCA